GGACCCGCACAAGCGGUGGAUUAUGUGGAUUAAUUCGAUGCAACGCGAAAAACCUUACCUACCCUUGACAUGUCCGAGAGCCCGAUGAGAGUUGGGUGUGCCCGAAAGGGAAUCGGAACACAGGUGCUGCAUGGCUGUCGUCAGCUCGUGUCGUGAGAUGUUGGGUUAAGUCCCGCAACGAGCGCAACCCUUGCCAUUAGUUGCUUCAUUCAGUUGGGCACUCUAAUGGGACUGCCGGUGACAAACCGGAGGAAGGUGGGGAUGACGUCAAGUCCUCAUGGCCCUUAUGGGUAGGGCUUCACACGUAAUACAAUGGCGCGUACAGAGGGUUGCGAAACCGCGAGGUGGAGCCAAUCCCGACAAAGCGCGUCGUAGUCCGGAUUGCAGUCUGCAACUCGACUGCAUGAAGUCGGAAUCGCUAGUAAUCGCGGAUCAGCAUGUCGCGGUGAAUACGUUCCCGGGUCUU
rnacentral:rRNA from 1 species